GUUUCGUUGGAAGUUCCCCCUAAGGCAAAUUUCCUCUCGUAAGGCAAAUAUCUAGAUCCUCCACUGAUAUAAGCGUCGUUUUCUUUAAUUUUUGUUGCCCAUAAAUUUGAGCUCUGUUUAUAACCAUCACAAAACUAUUCAUUUUGAGAGAGAAAACAGUGAGACAAUAAAGACAGUAUCAAUAGAAAACCUUGAAAAACCAAUCAUAGAUGCAAUAAUUUGGAUGUUCUCCAAACAUCGUUGAUAUACUACUGCACCAACCAAGGGCAUCUGACUGAAGAGAUAAAUCACUAAUCGGUAGUCGGUAGAAGAAAUAGCGGCCGACAGCUCAAAAGAUGGAGUGACAACCUUCCAAAAAGGUAUCAAUCCGCCAAUGCCGAAUUAUCUACUUAUAAA
rnacentral:lncRNA from 1 species